ensembl:lncRNA
CAGGUGUGGCCGGUACUUUUCACUCUCACAAAGAACUUUCACAUCCAUCCUCUCCCUCGGGCCUCUGAGCCACCCUGUGAGGUCUGUAGGAUGGGACUCACUUUACCCAGUCUACAUAAGGGAAAACCCACAUGCCAAGAGGUUAAAUAACUGACUUAUGGUCAAAUACCUAGUCGGUGGCUGGGCUGAAGAAGUGUGUGCCAUCUGUCUCUCCCAAGGUGUUUCUGUGGCUCUGGAUUGUUCUCUGGGGAAGUGUGAUGUCUUUCAUAGAGGGGUGGAGGCCCUCGCAGUAGGGCAGGACCCUCGGGCAGUGCUGACAGGCCACAAGCACAGGCUCAGCGGAGGGCCUGCGUGUGGCCUCUUACCGAGUUACAGCCUUUCGUCUUUUUCUUUGGCUUCGGGCUUCUGGCUGCCGAGGAAGGGCAGUCUCCAAAUAAGAAUGCCAAAAAUGGCUCUGUAUAUCCUACUGGGGAGAGAUCCGAGAUGGGAGGCCUGCACACGUGGCUCCCACCUGGGUCUGAGGAGACCCAGAGAUAGGCUUUGAAAAGAACACCUGCCUAUGAGGCAGAAAGUCCCAGUGACCAUGUGGGAGCUGUGCGAACUAGAAUACUCUGACGGGGCUAAUGCUACUCUUCCAUGUCCCAUUCUUGGGCCUGGAGAAGGCAGCUGGCCCUGUUCCCCUCCUUCCAGUAAUCAAGUGCCAAACAUUCCACACAGCUUCGUUUUCAAAGACAGAAAGGGAAUAAAGAUGUUAACAACAUGGGUGCAAGCGCUGCCCCCACAAACUGUAAACAUAAGAACGUACGCGUCCCCUGUGGGGUCAGGCCCAGGAUGAACCCAUUCAGCCAGCAAUUUCACUAAACAUUGGCUUCAGCCCGUCAUGCUGGGCUCCCGGGAGCUCCUCGGUCCACCACUGCUCAUUUCUCCAGCUCCCACAGAGCCUCAUAAGCCUGCGUUCAAUGCAGCCCGUCCAGAAGAAGAAUACAGUGUUCCAAGAGGCUGUUAGAGUUGCCGUUUCGCUGCAGUGCAAUUAGAAUGGACGGGAUAUUGGCCAGGAAGGGGCCUUAUUAGGUCUUGCUGUUGUUGUCGCUUUGUCUUAGACAAUAGUCCUGCAGCGGCUCCUUCUUCCAUCACGGUCAGAGCAAGCACGGUCAUUCCUGUUGGCCUGGUUCCUGCAGCCCACCUGGCUGGUGCUACAGGGACCCAUUCUCAGAGGCAAGGAGCAUCUCCAGGCCAGCAACAACCCGUCCAUCCCAGAGGGCUGAUGCCUGUCUGGAUGAUCACCAGAACAUGGAUGUGUUCCCUUCUCUUCCCUGUUCCUUCUUCCUACGUGGCACUGUUCUUUCUCCCGCUCUCUACCCGCCCCAACAUGGAAACACUGUGUUCCCAAUCAGAUAACGCCAGCACAAGUGUAUGGAGCAGAAGGCAAGCAGCACGGAGGGAGGGGAGAAGCAGUCACGUCCCAGAGCUUUCCCACUCAUCUCCUGGGAUGAUGACCACUGUUCCCACAGAGGCACUGGCUGGCUUGUCGGACACACGGGGCUAGCUCACCAGGGAAGGUGGCAGUGUUGCUAGUCUGCGUAAUAGAGCGAGACUAUCUCUGCCCGAGGAAGUGGGCUCCACCAGGCUGCCAUUUUGCCCUGCAAGCUGUACUUCAGUUGCAACAUGUAUCACACACUCCAGCAGACACCAUCCUCAGCCACCUCCCACACCACUUCUGUCCCCUUGGCGAUGAGCACCCAAGUGGAGAAGUGAAGCCCUGUGACAACACAUUCUCAGCAAUGCCAUCCAUGGAUGGGACGGACACUGGCCCAUCUCUCCUGUGAGAGCCAGGUGUCCCCAAGUGAACAGGUUUCCUAGGUCCACACCUGAGGCCAGCACCUAAGACAGGUUAUCACCUGUCAUGCUGAAAUUCAAGCCCACUUCUACCAAGAGGCCUUUUCCAGCUAACCUCGUUCAUUCUCUAUCUCUGAGGUUCUCAAAGUUUAAUGGGCAGCAGAAUCACCUUAGAGGGUUGGUUAUCCAGGCAGGUAACUCGGUCUCACUCCCCAAGGCCUGCAUUUUUAACCAGCUCCCCAGAUAAGUCUGAAACAGGGAUCUGUCUGCUUCCAUCCCUGCUCUCCUCUCUUACUUCACUGAGCUAUUCUAGUUGAAUUCUAGACUGUACCCUGUUUCCCCACACACCCUCGGAGUGCAGAGUUAGAAGAAUCUCCUGGAAGGUAAGGGGCCUUCAAAGCCCAGUAGAGGGUCCCAGACUGCAGGGCUGAGGAGCUGCCAGCCAGGAGGCUGAGAAUCAGGCUCCUCUCUCCACAGGCUCCAGAGAGCAUUCAUCUGUACAGUGGCUUUAAAUGUCACCUCAAAUAUCAGGCCGGGUGGCAGGAGUGAAAGGCGGAAGCUCAUUAGCCUGCCUUGGCCUGCUUUUGUGUGGCUUUCAUCCGUGUUCACCUCCGACCUCCUCUGGGAUCAUUAACACUCCCUCAACUGGGGGAGCCUCAGCUCUUGGAAACGUCACACAGCCCUUCCCCACACUGGGCUCUACACCAAAUCGCUAAGUCAGGGAAAUGCAGUCCCUCCUGGACACCUCCCCAGAGCACUUAUUCUUCCCCCACCAAUCGCCAGAACCCCAUGUGGCCCUGACUCUCCUUCCACAGCAUGCCACCCCAACACUGCCACCCUGGCCCCAAAAACCAAGCCGUGCCCUCAUGCCUUUUCAAAGCUCACCCAUCCUGGGCCUGUGAAAAGUAUUACGAUAAAUAAUCUCAACCCUUCUAAGGUCUGCACAAGGAGAGCUUAAUAUUCAGACCCUCCGGGAAUAUUUACAUUUUGGCAAAAGAUAAUGCCCUAGAUCAAAGGAAAGAAAACAAAGAACAAAAACAAACCAAGCUUAUAAAUAGAACAGACUGAUGGUUUGCCAGAGGUGGGCAACGGAGAGUAGGUCAAGUGGGUCAAAAGGUACAAACAUCCAGUUAUAGAAAAAUAAACAAGUCAUGGGGAUGCAAUGUACAGCAUGGUGAGACUAUAGUUAAUAACUGUACUGUAUAUGUGAAAGUUGCUAAGAAAGGAGAUCUUAAAAGUUCUCAUCUAAGGAAAAAUAUCUGUAACUAUGUGUGGUGAUAGAUGCUAACUAGAAUUACUGUGGUGAUCAUUUCACAGCAUAUACAAAUCAUUAUGUUGCACACCUGAAACUAAUAUAAUGUACUGUUGUAUGUCAACUAUAUAUCAACUUUUUAACAAGGGAAUUGGGAAAAAAUAGUAUAUUUCUACCAUCACCGGGAAUGCUAACUUUUUUUUUUUUUGAGGAUUUGUNNNNNNNNNNNNNNNNNNNNNNNNNNNNNNNNNNNNNNNNNNNNNNNNNNNNNNNNNNNNNNNNNNNNNNNNNNNNNNNNNNNNNNNNNNNNNNNNNNNNNNNNNNNNNNNNNNNNNNNNNNNNNNNNNNNNNNNAGGGAUAGGCUACCCACUCCAGUACUCUUGGGCUUCUCUUGUGGCUCAGCAGGUAAAGAAUCCGCCUGCAAUGCGGGAGACUUGGGUUCAAUGGAUGGGGUGGGAAGAUCCCCUGGAGAAGGGAAAGGCUUCCCAUUCUAGUACUUCAGCCUGGAGAAUUCCAGGGACUGUAUAGCCCACGGGAUUGCAAAGAGUUGGUAUACAUAUAUAUACAUAAGGUCAAAAAGCUCAGUUUGUGCAAAUUAUGAUCCAGAAUGACAUAUAAAUUUAUUCAAUAUUUUUUUUAAAAAAAGGAAGGGGAGUGGAAGUCCAGGCCUUGGAUAAGCAGCAGGGGUGGGUGUGUUGGGGGCAAGGAAGAGAGUCCAUGACUCUUCCCUAGCUCCAUGGGCACGUGCCUAUUGGGUGACCUGGUGAAGGCAGCUCAAGGAACCCGGUGCCUCCUUUGCCUCCCUCAUUCAUCCCGUAAUCCCCCACUUCCUACCCAGAAAGAACGUAGUUGACUGCCCUCUCCAAAUCUCUAAUUUAUAAAGUAGUUCUUCUUGAGGGAAAAAAUAAAACAAUAAAUAGAGUGGACACCUCAGAACCUGAUCCCAGCAGCCCAGAAACCCAAGAGUUUAUUAUUGCCUCCUCUGUUUCCUUCACACCCGGCAGGGGUGCCUCCCUAUUCCCUCUACUAACAGCAGCUGCUUCACCCAUCAAUCGAGGUGGUGUGACUCAGUGACCUAAGGGUCUUAGGUCUGGGGGCCUUUUGCCCCCCUGACAUUUGGUUUCUCUUAACUCUUCCUCCCGCCUCUCAAUUGCCACAGUUUACUGACUUAGAAAAACUCACAGAUGUCAGUCACCACAGCUGAAACCGCAUGCCUCACUCAGCCUGUGGGGAGCCCUUGGUGUGGAGAAUCCACUCCCUUCUCUCUCCAUCCCACGCCUUCUCCAUCUCCACCGAGAGCUUUUCCAAAUAGACUCCUCAGCAUAUCUGCCCAGGAAAGUCAGGCACCAGACGACAACAACUGCGGUUGAUGAUCUUGAAUAUGAAGUUCAACGGGGUCAAAAAGAGCCCACUGCAUCAUCAAAGAAAUCCUAAAUUCUGACUAGCAUAUAUCUAGAACUAAACAUUUUUAAAUAUAACGGUUGGGUUUUUAUUUUUUGGGGAAUGUAUAAUUUGUGUUUGUUCCAUAAUGUAAACCACUAUUACAUCAGAAUAUCUGACUCACUGGAAUGCCCUGACGCUCACCCCAAAACACACACACACACACACAGAAGCACACUAGCCAAUUUGAAUUCUCUCUUCCUUGACUCUUAUUUUUAAAAAGAAAAGAAUCAAUUGCCAUGAUCACUUUACUUUUCAUGAAAUAAAUUCUGCUUAUGGAUCUUAAAAAUAACCAAUUCCCAUAAAUUCUAGAACUAAUCCCUGUAUGAUCUGUUUAUUCAGUUAAUAUGAAGCCUGCUAAGGUUAGGAAUUUCCACAGUUUAUUGUGAUCCACACGGUCAAAGGCUUUGGCAUAGUCAA